rnacentral:rRNA from 1 species
AUGAAGAAAAAUAAAGCACCAGGUCCAGACAAUAUGCCCAUUGAAUUCUUUCAACAUUGUUGGGACAUAGUAAAAAAUGAAGUGCUACUCUUGUUUGAGUGGUUUCAUGACAACAAACUAGAUGUACAACGUUUGAACUAUGGGAUAAUUACUUUACUACCCAAAGUGGUAGGAGCGAAUAAAAUUCAGCAGUUUCGACCCAUAUGCUUGCUGAGAUGCAUUUAUAAACUCAUCACUAAGGUGCUUACGAUUAGACUGGAGCCUUUUGUGGAUAUCCUAUUUAGUAGGCAUCAAAAUUCUUUUAUCAAAAAAAGAGACAUAAUGGAUGGAAUCAUGUCUUUACAUGAGAUUCUCCAUCAUACUUACAGUAAGAAAAAGUCAGGGAUAGUGUUGAAACUAGACUUCGAAAAAGCCUAUGACAAAGUUAACUGGGAUUUCUUGUUAAACUGUCAUAAGAUGAGGGAGUUCCAUCCACAAUGGAUUGAAUGGGUUAGGAAGAUCCUGGUAGGAGGUACAGUAAGUGUGAAAUUGAAUGACGAAAUUGGACCCUAUUUUCAAAGCUCGAAAGGGGUGCGCCAGGGUGACCCCUUCUCACCUUUUCUCUUUAACUUAGCCGCUGACUGCUUAACAAAAAUGGUGGUAAAGGCUUAG